UUCGCAAUGCCCGAAAGGGUGACGAUGCGACGCCGCGUGAGCGAAGAAGGCCCUAGGGUUGUAAAGCUCUGUCAGGGGUUAAGAAAUGUAGAUAGGUUAAUACCCUGUUUAUUUGACAAAAGCCCCAAAGGAAGCCACGGCUAACUCUGUGCCAGCAGCCGCGGUAAUACAGAGGUGGCAAGCGUUGUUCGGUAUUAUUGGGCGUAAAGAGCACGUAGGUGGUUUUGUAAGUCAGAUGUGAAAGCCUUCUGUUCAAAGGAAGAACGGCAUCUGAAACUGCAAAUCUUGAGUGUAGGAGGGGAGAGUGGAACUUCUGGUGGAGCGGUGAAAUGCGUAGAUAUCAGAAGGAACGUCGGCGGCGAAAGCGACUCUCUGGCCUAUUACUGACACUGAGUGUGCGAAAGCUAGGGGAGCAAACGGGAUUAGAUACCCCGGUAGUCCUAACCGUAAACGAUGGGCACUAAGUAGAGGGGUUUU
rnacentral:rRNA from 1 species